rnacentral:pre_miRNA from 14 species
UUCUGAUCGGGAGUCGGACUGCUGGAGCUAUGGAGUGUGACAAUGGUGUUUGUGUCAGAGCUAUCAAACGCCAUUAUCACACUAAUGAGCUACUGCAGGCACACUCACUCACUGGCUG